rnacentral:pre_miRNA from 1 species
UGGACAGAUUAUUGUAUUCGACUGUAUUCACGGCGUGAAACAGGGAAUUACAUCGUUUUUAAAUGAAAAGUAAAUCAAUUAACACAAUAAACUCCU